CUCUCUCUCUCAAAAUAAAUAAACAUUUUUAAAAAGUAAUAAAUUAUGUUACACUAACUCCUGAAAAUUUUAACAUAUAUGCAUAAGUUGUAUCCUUCUUAUGGUCAUAAUUCUCCACUUCUAGACAUUGCAUCUUCCUAUGAGAGACAAGAAAAGAAAAAAGACAAAGAUGCUAAGAACAAAAGAUGUGUGCCAGUAGAAUUCAAAUAACCAAAUUUCAAUUGGCUGCAAUUUCGGGUUUAUAUUGGUGAUCAAAUGUGGGAUCCAGAGCAAACCUCCAAAGACCCCCAGGCUGGAGAGCCAACAUCAGACAAUGCCCACAGAGCCAAUGGGGCUCACUGCUUUCUCACUGACCCAUGAGUUGGAAGGUAAGUUUUCUCCUGGAUUUUGAGCUCCAUGCUUUGUGUUUGAGCUCUUUAGGCUUUGUUUGGGAUCUUUGUUUUUGUUUUCGUUUUUAUCUCAGAGUAAUAGUUUGGCCUCUCAUACAACUCCUUUUCAGAAUUGGAUUGUUCCUGAUGGAACCAUGCUGGCCUUUGGUCUGACUCGUUUUCAGAAUCAGACUGUUCUUGUUGGACUGGUGCCAGGAGGAAAUGUGCAGGCCUCCAAUCCCACUGUUUGGGAUCAGACUCUUCUGGUUGGAACUGUACCUGUUGGAAUUGUGCUAGCCUUCAGUCAACCUGUUUGGGAUCAGACUCUUCCUGCUGAAACUGUGCUAGCAUUCUGUGGACUCCUUUUAGGAACUGGCCCGCCAGCCUUUAGUCCAAUUUCUUCCGAACCGGGCAAUUCCUACUGGAACUGUUCUGGCUUUUGGUCUGAUUCCUACUGGAACCAGGCUAUUGCUUUUGAAACUGGUAUUUAGAAAUGUUUCUGUUUUCUCUAGAAAAAGCUUUAAUAAAUGGGAUCCCAAUCACCAAAUGCUUUGAGGGUGCCCCCCUCACUUGGACUUGGGCCAGUUUUAUGUUUAAAAACUAUGGUCCCUCCUCAUGUGCAUUUCUCACUAAGUAGUCUGAGUUGUCCAAAAGUAAUUUAGAACUUCAAUGGCCAUUGUGGGGGAACUUUACCUCUCUCCAAACUUAUUCUACUCAAAAUUAAAUUAGAAAGUUGUGGUUCCAAAGAAAAAAAAGAAAAAGAAAAAAACAUCUGAACAGGAUGCAUAUUUUUAAAUGGUACCUUGAAGCUUCCAGAUGUUUUCGGGACUCUAAGUUUGCGUCUUUGCAAAAUACCAUUUCUAAGUUAACCGGGGCAAACCACUGAAAGAAGUCAAAAUGGCUUCUGAGGCCUCUUGUUCCCCACCCCAACUUUUUUGUCUGCAGACACGUGGCAGCCAUCUUAUGCUCAGACCUCACCUUUAGCACUAUUUUCCUCUAUUCUCUCUGCUGAACUUCCCUUUUCCUCUGAAUCUCUCCCGCUCACUCCUCUUCUGAAACUAUUGAAACUUGCCUCUUUAAAGUUAAAUCUUCAGAAGAUCUAAAUACACCUCAAAUUUCUUAUGUUCCCUGGACUAAGGCUAAAAUGCAAGUCAUAGUUAAGGAGUUGCUCAAAGUGACUGAGGACCCACAUAAGUUUGCAGAAGAAUGUAGCAUAGCUAUUGAAAUUUACCAACCUAGUUUCUCAGGUUUAUAU